AUAGUCUUCCAUCCUGACAUUUGAGAAAGAUGAUAUCAAAAUCUAUAGAACACAGCAGCAGUCAGCUAAAAGAAUCAAGCGUGUGCAACAAAAAACUGGAUAUCUUUUAUAUAUCAACAAAUUUCUAUUCUGUAGUACCCUAUGACACAAAACUGAAUGUAGAAUCCACUCCCAUCAGUUCUCAACGGUCAUAUUCUCCUUGAUCAUUUAAUUUCUCAAUUGCUGCCAGUUCUCACUUAA
rnacentral:misc_RNA from 1 species